rnacentral:rRNA from 1 species
AUUGAACGCUGGCGGCAUGCUUUACACAUGCAAGUCGGACGGCAGCACAGAGAAGCUUGCUUCUUGGGUGGCGAGUGGCGAACGGGUGAGUAAUAUAUCGGAACGUACCGAGUAAUGGGGGAUAACUAAUCGAAAGAUUAGCUAAUACCGCAUGUUCUCUGAGGAGGAAAGCAGGGGACCUUUGGGCCUUGCGUUAUUCGAGCGGCCGAUAUCUGAUUAGCUAGUUGGUGGGGUAAAGGCCUACCAAGGCGACGAUCAGUAGCGGGUCUGAGAGGAUGAUCCGCCACACUGGGACUGAGACACGGCCCAGACUCCUACGGGAGGCAGCAGUGGGGAAUUUUGGACAAUGGGCGCAAGCCUGAUCCAGCCAUGCCGCGUGUCUGAAGAAGGCCUUCGGGUUGUAAAGGACUUUUGUCAGGGAAGAAAAGGCUGUUGCUAAUAUCGACAGCUGAUGACGGUACCUGAAGAAUAAGC